GCAACCAGUGCGGCUGAAUUGGUCCUCAGUGUAACGAGAAUAUCCGGGUCAGCGUGUAUGUCAGCCACGUUACGCGGAAGUAACGCUAUUAUUGUGCGAAAAAUGAUUGGAAGUUCUUCUAUUUUUGUCCUUCUGUCUCUGCAAACUGGAGAUCUCGCUUCACUAUUCCGGAGAAUGAUGAAUACGUCUGUCGGCUGCGCGGUUUUCGUCCUCGCGAUGCAGGCUAUUUAUCCUGAAAAGAUACCGAUACGGAAGCCAUGCGUUAAUAGCGAGACGACAAGUUACUAUUCAUAAAACGUGUGGGUGUAGUUGCUGAUGUAAUGCUCCGGAAGAAUAUCAGUGGAUUUCAUUGCCAAGGGAGAGUCAGAAGUCACAUCGUAAAAAGUUGGCACGGAUUCAUCUUGGACGGAAAAGCUAAGGAGAAUCGGUAAUCAGCGAAGAUUUUUACGAUUUCAUCAAAGUGCCUUCUUUGGCACUAGAUAGAUACUUAUAAAGAUUGGAUUGAUUAAUUUUCUGCUUGCUUAACAAUUUGCACAAUUGCUACAAAAUCCGAGACGUACUACUUGUGAUUCUCAUGCCAAGUUUCCGGCUACAAUUUUGGCUUUCCCCAGUAUUUAAAAAUAUUAUAGUUCAUUCCAAAACUUCAACCUUGAACUUUAAUCAGAUCACUUUCGUUCUAAUUCUUGAUAGUCCGUCUUCAAAAUAUGUUAUUAAAAUGUUUCGUUAAGAACUUGAAAAAGUAAGAUUUAUAUCAGAGAUAUUUAUUUCGUGCAGGCUGAUACGAAUAAUAUGCGAAUAGGAACAAAAAUAAAAGCAAAGAAUGAUCUUUCAAAAUCAAUCACAUUCAGAACUAAGAAUUUUUCUUGAUCUGAAGGAUUCUUCUCCAAACGUAUACAUUUCACGCUCAUAAGUGUCGCACACAAAAUUUCAUGUUUUAUGUACGGAAUUGAAGAUCUCAACUUGAGAAAUGUCAUAUACGAAACAAAGUGUCAAAUAUAUAACAU